GAAAAAUCGGACCGCCUUCCCACCCAUCUGCCCACGAAAAAAAGAAAAAAGAAAAAAGGUAAAACAACCCACGUCCCCACGUCCCCGUAUCCCACCUCCCACUCCCUUCCCCCAAAUCUCUCGGUCUCAAUUCCAUGUCUCUCCAGAGAGGAAUCUCAGCGGCCGACCUCCUCCCGCCUACAGCGACCUCGACCGGCAGCGCACUGCAGCCAAGCUAGAUUGGAGUGGUGGAUCCGCGCCCUUGACAUCUCACGGAGUCCAUGAGGACAGCAACGCGGGGAGGGAGCGACGACGGCAACGACGAGCGACGGCGACGCGAGGAGGGCGGCGCGUCGACGGCAACGACAACCGACGGUCGAGUUGGGAAUAGGAACAGGUGUGGCAGAACGACAUCGACCUCCUCAAGCCGUCGGCGGGUCCAGAGAAGCUCAACUCAUUCCUCAUGGUACGUGCGCAUCAGACCACAUAGGAUGUGGGUGAAACAUGCCUUUUCGUUCAAUUGAUUUUUCUCACAGCCCCAGAUUAUGUGUUGUCUUUGUGUUCCUUCUCUGCAUGAUGUCAACUUGUCAAGUGCCACGGCUGCUUCAACAUGUGCGUUGUUAAACCUUGUCGAGGGAGGCGGUGGCGACUGGUGGUGCGAAGCCGAUCCUCCACAAGGGCUUCUCCAUGCUGCUACGCUCUCCCGUCGGUCUCUUCUUGCCUUCGCUCAGGCAGGCGCCGACGGGGCUGACACGCCGUUGAUCAGCGACGGACAGCGUGGCGACGCAGGUGUGUGAGGAGUCUCCGUCCGCUACAGGCUACAGCCUCAGGGGACGAAGCAAACACAUAUUGGGAGGUACUCAAAAUUUCAUCACUUUGUUGUAUAAUCAUGGUGCUGAUUAAAUAAUCCUUGAUUGAUUUUGAAUCUUUGCCAAUAGUUCAACAUCUUUUUUUAAUCACAAGGUCUAAAAGGUAUCAUUCAAAAUCUGCAGAUGAUCAGUAGUGUCAAACCCACAUCUUCUCUGCCAUCUUCUACAUGAACUGCUUUGUAAAAAGUGGAAAAUUGUUGCUUGUAAUGUUGAUGUGCAGACUACCAAAUUGGGAAAUUUUCGAUCAUGGUGAAACUACAUUGUACAAAGUGAAUCAUAUUAGUAAUGUCUCCCAACUCUCAAAUUGUUGCUUGUUAUAUUAAUUUGCAAACUACCAAAUUGGAAAAAUUUCAAUCAUGAUAUGAUUGUGAGAAUUGAUGCAUGAUUGCAGAUGGCUACCAAACCGUAAAAUUUCAACAUUCAAAAGAUUUAUUUUGUACGGGCAGGUUUGAUGCAUGAUUGCAGCUGCAUGUAGGUUUCGGUUUGUCCAAGAACUGUGUAUGUAUACCGAUAAUGAUUACUCCCUCCGUGUCUUUCAUUUAGUACAAUUUUAUACUUAUUUUGGGACGGGGGAGUACUCUGUUUUCAAAUGGCGCCUGUUGUGCACAUGAUAACUGUGCGUGUAUAAAUUAGUAUCAGGUUGCCUGCACAUUGAACUUAUAAUUCUUUUUCUGAAUAAUGUGUCAUAUUUUGAUUCCUGCCAAAAUGACCAUUGCUAUUUGCUUUCUAGACAUCUUGUAUGUGUCUUGUGCUGAUAAUAAUUUUUAUUUUUCUUAGGAUUCGAUAUGCUUGUGAAGGGUACAUUAUGAUUUACGAGCAUGUAAUCUUCUCUGAUAAUCAAAGUGCUGCAUAGUCUUGUGUGCAUUCAUCAGAGCUAUUCCACAAUCUUGUCCCCACUUAUGCCUUUUUACACUUUUAUAUGUGUAGCUUUUAAUUUUUUUAAUACAUUGAUUCUUUUCUUUUUUAAGUCUUCAUGUGUGCAGAAUUACUUCUGCGGUGAGUCGGAGUGUGAUGUCUUCUCACGGGCUACUGUCAUCAAUCAAGGUGGUCAUCGGCGAUAUCAAGCUUGACGAGUACUUCCUGAAGGCUGAUGUCUGCUCCCGUCGCGUCGCUGACCGAGGCCCCAUCUCCAUGGGAAGCUGCUAUUUUUUUGUUAGAUUGGCAGUGAGAUGCUUGGAUAGGAGAAAAGAAACCAGAAGUGCAUGAGAGAUAGAUGUUGAGAACCUAAAUAAUGCACACACAUUUACAUAUUUCAUGUGAUGGUAGUACGUCGUCGUAGUUUUCGUGUUGGUUGUCCUACUAAAUGUUACUAUCAGUCCUAACUCAUCACAUCACUCUCAAUUUUCAGUCAUGCUUGGAGCUUUUAUCUGUAAUUCUACAAAAUCAGAAAGCAUUUCUAAGCCUCAAGGUAAUGUUGAAACUUAGAGGCGAUCAAAU
rnacentral:rRNA from 1 species